UACGCAGGGGGCUAGCGUUGCUCGGAAUCACUGGGCGUAAAGCGCACGUAGGCGGCUUUCUAAGUCAGGGGUGAAAUCCUGGAGCUCAACUCCAGAACUGCCUUUGAUACUGGAGAGCUUGAGUCCGGGAGAGGUGAGUGGAACUCCGAGUGUAGAGGUGAAAUUCGUAGAUAUUCGGAAGAACACCAGUGGCGAAGGCGGCUCACUGGCCCGGUUCUGACGCUGAGGCGCGAAAGCGUGGGGAGCAAACAGG
rnacentral:rRNA from 1 species